rnacentral:tRNA from 1 species
GUCCUCGUAGUAUAAUUUUAUUACUCUAGUCUUGUAAACCAAAAAUGGAGGUUUUCCUCCCCAGGACA